UGUUUCAAUAAGAUCAACUUGUGUUAAAUGAAAACAUCAUGUAACCUAGAAGUAGGGCUGGAAAAAAAAAACCGAAUUUCCCGAACCUGAUUCGAAAUUUCUUGAACCCGACCUGAAAAAAAAAACCGAACCCGAAAAUCCCGAACUGAAAUAGUCCGAAACUUUUGGUAUGGGAUUCGGUUUUGAUAGACCUUUAGUUCGGUAAUCCCUAACCGAACAACUAUAUUAAUAUAUAAUAUGUAUUUAAUUUAAAUUAGAAAUUAUAAACUAUCUGGACCGUUGGAUUGGUUGAGAUUUAAUCUCAACCAUCCAAUCUAAGUUAUAGGGUUUCACACUCUCACAUUUCUCACCAAAGCCUCAACCCUCAACCCUCUCAUCCCUCUCGAGUUCUCACUUCUUUGACUCUGUUCUCUCCUCUGCCUCUACAUUUCUGAGGUUAGUGGCUACGACUACUGCCAUAACGGUUGCCUUUUCAUGUCAUGCCGCUGUUGUCCUUUCUUCCCUCUCUUCUUCCUCCUCCUUUGUAUCUUUUUGAUUCCCAAAACCCCAAAAUAGCUCUUCUUUCAUCUGCGUCGUCUCUGCUCAACCCAAAUCCUCCGUUCUUCGCCACAAGCUUCGCCCACCUGCCAUUGCCGCAUCGGAGCAAAAACCAUCAUUUCAGAAUGAUGGUGCAAUUUGGCUUCGUAUGAAUUGGAUUUGGGCAUGAAGGAUCAAUCCCAAUCUAUCCCGAUAUCCCGAAAAAAAUUUUGGACAUCCCGAAGUUCGGGAAUCUUAGAAAUUCGGUUCGGUUUUGAGAUUUGAAAUCCCAUUCCGAAAUAUUUCGGUUUGGAAAUCAGGAUGAUGGUUUUGGUUUGAUAUCCCAUACCGAACCAGCCAUACCUAGAAGUAUUGGUCGUGCAUCCAAUUACUGAUUUGCGGCUCAAGUGAGACAAUCAUUCACGCACGUGCGGGUAACUAUCAGUAGUCGAUGAGUGUGGACAAACACUUGUAAGCUCUUAUGGUUUGAACAAUUAAUGAGUAAUAUAAGAAUAUAGGCAUGCGCAUAUGAACGAAAGUGUACAAGUGUAAAAAGAGAAAUCAAACAAGGACCACCACAUCUUUUUAUUUCAUGA